GCCAGUGUGUAGCAGAUCUCCUUCUGCAGCCUUGGCUAUGAUCUCCGCUCCUCUCUCUCUCUGCCUUGGCUAUCUGCCUGCUCUCCUGCUGUCCUCAUCUGUAGGAGCUGCACAGCUCAGCAAGAAACUGUUCUUAGUGUGCCCAUCAAAGCACUGGAAGAAAAAGAAUACUGAGAUAGUUGCCUGAAAAGCAGAAGCAGCUCCUGUCACAGUGCCAAAUGCACUCGUUUAAGGAAUUCUGAUUUUACAAAAGGAACUCCCCCAACCCCCAAACUAAAAGUUAAAGAUGAAGAAGCAUCAUGUCUUAAAAUAGACAGUUUUGUGUUUUCUCACUGCAGUCAAAAACAGAACUCUGGCAAAACAGCAUGGAAUGGGAAGUGGACGUGGCUUUCUGCAUAAAACACAUACCCUGCAACAUAGCAAAUUACUCUGCCUGAUCCUUCACCCAUUAUCCUUGGACCAAGCUUAUGCUUUCUGUAAAGUGAGUCUUCAUCUUGAGAAUCCUUAUUCACUAGACAGAUUUGAUUUGCUUUGCUUCACUUUCAAAUACAUCAGGACAGGUCUGAAUUUGUAAUAGGUAUCUUGUCUCUUUUACUUAGGACCAUUACUCUUUACAUUCCUUUUGAAAGUCUUUUUGCUACUCUCAAUAGAUCAGAGAUAGAAAAAUUUUCUUAGAGAAAUCUAAGAAAAUAAGUUCGCUUCAAAAAUCUCUAAAAUGCCUUCCAAUAUGAAGAUGACCAGAUGACCAGAACUGUCCAAAUUUUUGGACAAUGUUAUUGUUUCCUCCACCACCUGCUCUUUCCUUUCUCCUGUAAAGAAGAGAGCCUUUAAAGAAGUAAAAAUAUUAUACCAAUGCCCCUCAUUGAGGGUCCAUAAUCAUAUCAAUUUGUAAAGCACCUGCAUUUAUUAACCUCUAAUUGAAGAUGGUGUCCUCUGUAUUUUUCACUGUGCCCAAUGCAAAAACUCAUGUGACUAAUUAUGUUCAUAAUUAAAAAUAUUUUUCUCUUUUGUUGAACUGAUGAGAUUCUUUGAAUUAGAAACUAAAACCCAUCUAAUUCUUUGUGCUUAUAUUUGUUUGACUUCCAAGAAGUUUGUUUAUAAUCUUCAUGUUUAAUUAUAGUGUUAUAUUUGUUUUCAGUUUUCUGAUGUAAUUGUUUUAAGUAAUUAGGCUGUACCUAAUUAUUAUUUAGUUAUCGCCUAUUGUUUUGUUUGCUUUUAAAAAACAGUUUUUAUUGUUUUAAAAAUAAACUUUAUCAAAUGCUUUUGAGAAUA